GAUGAACGCUGGCGGCGUGCCUAAUACAUGCAAGUCGAGCGAACGGACGAGAAGCUUGCUUUUCUGACGUUAGCGGCGGACGGGUGAGUAACACGUGGAUAACCUACCUAUAAGACUGGGAUAACUUCGGGAAACCGGAGCUAAUACCGGAUAAUCUUUUGAACCGCAUGGUUCAAAAGUGAAAGACGGUCUUGCUGUCACUUAUAGAUGGAUCCGCGCUGCAUUAGCUAGUUGGUAAGGUAACGGCUUACCAAGGCAACGAUGCAUAGCCGACCUGAGAGAGUGAUCGGCCACACUGGAACUGAGACACGGUCCAGACUCCUACGGGAGGCAGCAGUAGGGAAUCUUCCGCAAUGGGCGAAAGCCUGACGGAGCAACGCCGCGUGAGUGAUGAAGGUCUUCGGAUCGUAAAACUCUGUUAUUAGGGAAGAACAUAUGUGUAAGUAACUGUGCACAUCUUGACGGUACCUAAUCAGAAAGCCACGGCUAACUACGUG
rnacentral:rRNA from 1 species